GGCCGUUGGCUUGAUCCAGCCGGGCGCCUCUUCUCUUCCUACGCUGGGAGUGCCAGCCCAGUUCUCCGCACUUCUUCCCUGGAAGUAAGACCCACUCAGUUCUGGCAGCUUACUCUCAGAGAUCAAUUAAAAGCGGUGAAGAGAUCAGAACACCACCUCCUGCCCUCUUUGGGAACAGAAGCACUUUGGAGUAUUGCUUGCUUAUGUGUUUGUGUUCUCUCUCUCUAUCUAUCUAUCUCUCACUGUGUGCUUGGAUCUAGAGGACAACAUACACGUUUACACCAUGAGAAUACAUAAAGAGGGCACUGGUGUAUAUGAUCAGCUACAAAAACUGAGUCCUCUUUAUACUGAAAAUAAAAUACCUGUAAUGAAAGAAAUGUGAUGCUGAUAUACAAAGCACUUUGUAUUUAUCCCUUCCUGUAAUUUGGAAGGAAAAUGUAGCCAAUCCACUUUAAAUUAUUCAGCAAUUUUUUUAAGGAAA